rfam:Dissulfuribacter thermophilus strain S69 contig00020, whole genome shotgun sequence.
CGCCUUGUGGAGCAAGCCGGAAGGUAAGGGCACAGGAGUCAGCAGAGGUCAUAGUAGCCAAAGGCCUGGGGUAAUGCCCAGGACAUGGUGAAGGAC